ACGGCGGGGAGGGGCUCUGCCGGGUCUCUGCGCCCCCUCUCCCCAAAAAUGAGUGCGAAGGGGCUGCGGGCGCUGGAGGGUUUAGGGUUAAGGGGCAACCCCGGGGGUCAAGGGGGUGAUAGGGAAAUGCGGUGCGUGAGCGGGGCUUGGCUAAAAAAAAAUAAUUAAAAAAAAAAAAGCAAACUAAGCCAAAGUGAGAGAUGCAGAGUUAAACCCUGCUGCUCUCAGCCCCAGCUUGCAUUUCUGAGUGAGGAGCGGGACCUGGGCAGCAGGCAAUGCCCCCACCUAUGCAGAGCUGCCUCCCCCCAGUCCUUUCCUUCUGGCUGAGGUGCUGCGUACUUCCUCCACCGCUGCAGAUGGGGAUACCCGUGCUUGGUUUUGCAGCCCAUCGAUCUGAAGCUUGCAGCCUGCCACGAGGACCAAGGAAGAAGGCACCUGGGACUCCCCGAGGGAAAGAUACAUCCAGCAGACAGCCGGUUUUGAAGCACAAGCCUCUUCUGGAAGGCAUCUGUGAAGCUGCUAUUGUCACCUUCAGUGCUGUAUUAUGUCCCCUCUUUUCAUAGGGGGAGAAAAAAACAAUCUGCAAGCCCGUCACCUGUAAGAGCUGUUCCCCGUGAUGCCAUGCCACUGCUCCAGGACUGC